rnacentral:rRNA from 1 species
AUGCUUUCGCACCGGGAGGGGGGGGGCGAGAUCCGGAGCAAGGACCCUAAGAAUUUGGAAGAUAUCUCAAGAAAAGGUUUUAGCACCGGUCUCUCAUAUAUGUACUCCAGUUUAUCCGAAGUGUCCCAAUGGUGUAAGACCGUCGACUAUUUGGGAAAAGGGAGGAAAAUCACUCUGAUCUCUAAUUUCGGAGAAAUAAGUGGCUCACAAGGAAUGGAGAGACAGAUUCUCUAUUUGAUCUCAAAGUCCUCAUAUAACACUUCUUCCAGUUGGAUCACUUGUUUGAAAAACAUAAUGCUCACACAUGUUCCACACGGGCAAGGAAGCAUAAUAUCAUGA